AUUUUUAAGGUGCAGGAACUCAGGAAGUAGCUCGGUGCACGAAACCUCCUCAUCGCCGGUUGGCGACGCCGAUGGAAGACGAGAUCAUUCAACGGGUCUUAGAAGGCGGCGGCAGGGAUUAUAUCUCCUCCUCUUCCUCCGCCUCUCCUCCUUCCCCAGCUCCCUCCUCCUCCUCCUCCAUUCUCCAGUCCCUCCCUCUCCACGUGUCCUUCGAUCAUGGCUAUUAUCUUCUUGUCAAGGCAAUUCAGGAACUGAGGGAUAAGAAGGAUGGGCACAUUGUCACCGUCGGGAUCGGUGGCCCCAGCGGAUCGGGGAAAACCAGCUUGGCAGAAAAGGUGGAGUCAGUUCUUGGCUGCCUUGUCAUCUCCAUGGAGAAUUACCGCAACGGAAAUGAUGAUGGGAACGACUUGGACUCGAUAGAUUUUGACACUCUUGUCGGCAACCUACAGGAUCUGAUGAAGUCUAAGGAUACUAAGAUGCCUUUGUUCGAUUUUCAAGAAAAAAGGCGAAUUGGUUUGCGGCAAUUGAAGGUUUCUUCUUCGGGUGUGGUAAUUGUUGAUGGUGCUUAUGCACUGCACUCUACACUACGCUCACUUCUUGAUAUCAGGGUUGCCGUGGUUGGUGGAGUCCAUUUUAGCCUUCUAUCUAAAGUAAGACAUGAUAUUGGAGAUUCAUGUUCUCUGGACUACUUGAUUGACAGUAUUUUCCCUCUGUUUCGGAAACAUAUUGAGCCGGAUCUUCAUCAUGCACAGAUAAGAAUCAAUAACAGCUUUGUAUCUUCUUUUAGAGAACCUUAUUAUAAGCUGAAAUGCAAAAGUGAGUCACCUAAUGGAAGUGUAUCAUACUCUAUAAAUGGAGAUGAAGGAGAAACAGAGAAUUUUAUUGAGAUGUAUCUUCGGCCACCAUUUACUUCUGAAGAAGCAAAGAUAAAUGAUUGGAUAAAAGUUCGACAAUGUGGUAUUAAAUACUAUUUGUCAUUAGGUGAUCAAAGAAUUGUGGAUAAAUAUUUCAUCAUUCGGCCAAAAGCUGAGUUUGAGGUUGGGCGGACAACCCUAGGUGGUUUGCUUGCUUUGGGCUACAAUGUGGUAGUCAGCUACAAGCGUGCAUGUACAUCCUUCUAUAAUGGUCAGAUUUUGAUUGCCAUAGAGAGUAUUGACACACUCAACGAGAGUUUCAUGGUGUUGAAGGGUACAAGCAGAAAAAUCAUUGGAUCAGAAGCUUCCUGCCUAGGAAUCAAUGGACCAUGGAUAACGAAAUCCUAUCUGGAAAUGAUUCUUGAAACCAAAGGUGUUCCACGACUCAAUUCGCCGCCACCUGCAUCUACUAAUCUUUUAGUUGGAAAUCAAAAUAGAGGCCUUGCUGUACCAAGACCAAUUCGUUUGCCUUCUAGUGUCCUUCCCAGGAUUGAGGAUGUAACACAGCCAUGGACAAGAUCCCCAACCAAAUCAGACAUGGAGCCUGUGCUACCAAGAUGGCAUUUCAUAUCAGAUUCUUCUGCUUUCAGGGGUAACCAACGACUUGCUCCAAUGCAUGAUUCAUAUGAUUUGGAUAGGGGAUUGCUUCUUUCUGUUCAAGCAAUUCAGGCUUUAUUGGAGAACAAUGGAUUCCCAGUUAUUGUAGGAAUCGGUGGUCCUAGUGGAUCUGGCAAAACUAGUUUGGCUCAGAAAAUGGCUAAUAUUGUUGGCUGUGAAGUUAUCUCCUUGGAAAGCUAUUACAAAUCUGAACAAGCAAAGGAUUUUAAGUAUGAUGAGUUCAACUCCUUGGAUUUAUCUUUAUUGUCAAAGAAUAUUAGUGACAUAAGGGAACACCAUAAAGCCAAAGUUCCAUGCUUUGAUUUUGAAAAAUCUAGACGGAAUGGAUUCAAAGAGCUUCUGGUUUCAGAGGAUUCUGGCGUGGUGAUUUUUGAGGGCAUAUAUGCACUACAUCCAAAUAUUAGGAAGUCACUUGACUUUUGGAUUGCUGUUGUUGGUGGUGUUCAUUCACACCUUAUUGCGAGAGUUCAAAGAGACAAGAAUCGUGUUGGUUGUUCUAUAUUUCAGAAUGAGAUAAUGACAACUGUUUUCCCUAUGUUUCAGCAACACAUUGAACCACAUCUUGUUCAUGCACAUCUUAAAAUUCGCAAUGAUUUUGAUCCUGUACUUUCUCCUGAGAGUUCCUUAUUUGUACUUAAAAGUAACAAGCAGGUAUCAAACCCAGACCUACUUAAAGUGCUUGACCCUGGAAAAGUUUGCAGCUCCGUUCAGAACUUCAUUGAUGUUUAUUUAAGGCUUCCUGGAGUGCAUUCAAAUGGGCAGCUCGCAGAAGGAGAUUGUAUUCGUGUCAGAUUGUGUGAAGGAAGAUUUGCGUUGUUAAUACGAGAGCCUAUAAGAGAGGGGAAUUUUAUCAUACAACCGAAAGUAGAUUUUGAUAUCAGUGUGAGCACUGUUGCUGGCCUUCUAAAACUUGGUUAUCAAGCUGUUGCAUAUAUUGAAGCUUCUGCAGUCAUCUAUCAAGAUGGAAAGAUACUUAUUGAGGUGGACCAUCUACAAGCUGCUUCCUGUCCCUUUCUUCAAAUUAAAGGAACAAAUAAAGAAGUAGUUUCAACUGCAGCUUCCAUUCUCAGUCUGCAUGGUUCAUACACAACAAAGAGUUACCUCCAAAUUAUUCUCGAAAGCUUGCCCGAUUUUGGAAAUGAAUCUGAUGGAAUUCACAAUCAUCAAGCUGCUAGACUGCAGGACUUGGUGGAAUUUAUUCAGACACAAGUAAGUUAUGAUCAUCUUUCCAAAAUAACCUAUAUUCUUCCUAAUCUGAAGUUAACUACUCUAUUAGCAUAUAUGCUGCAAUCUAACUGCACUGUAAUCAUGUCCUUUUACUUUAGUAAAGAAUCAUAUUGUAUGAAUAAAAAAUCUGAAAAAAGUAGAGAAUCAAUAAGAUAUUAUAGAAGUUCCCAAUAAGAAUUGGCUCAGUAAACUCACUACAUCCGUACUUAAGUUGUUUUCAACCCAAUUGAUUUGACAUCUUCACACCCGAGAUACAACCACCCGAUUAUCAAAUCCCACAACCUCACAAGCAAACAUCAUACCCUCAUUACACCAUCAUCCCUCUAACCAGCCUCCUUUGUCAAGAAACCCUAUAACUCGGCUAAAUAAAGACACCAUGAUGGUUUACUAGUUUAAUCCACCACCACGACCCAAGUACAUCUUAUGAACCAAAACCCACUUAACUCCUCAGUGACCUCUUAUGAUUCCACUCGAUUCAAAGGAAAGAGGAAAGGAACAUACCUGUGAUUCAUCAAUCAAAAGAUAAAUAUGUUGCUAUGGGUGGAAAAAGUGCUCCUUCCUACAGCCAUGGAAGGUCCAUGUUCACCUGUGAUUUGCUGCAAUCAAAUCAUUGGAAAUGAAUGACUCAUUUCCAACAACAAAGAUCCAUGUCUCUACAAUAUGAGCAUGCACAGAGCUUAAAGAUUGCAGCAAGCUAUAGAAACUUAUGAUAUUUCUCACACAAGGAAGCCGAGAAGCGUUGCUACACAUACAGGAGGAAGGGGGAAAAAGAGGGGAAGGGGGUUCAUCUGCCACUGCUGUGAUGGUUUUUGGGCGAUGAAAAUGAUGGCUGCAGAUGAAUUUGACUGAACAAAGAAGUGGCAAGCAUCAAUCACUGGCAGCACUUCUGUAGGUGGAAGGUGAAGGUGCAGUGAUGACAGUUGCUAAUGGUCACAAGCAUUGAUGCAAUGUAGGAUGUUAGCGACGGAGGUGUGCACUGCAACAUCAGAUGAUGGACUGUAGUGGCAGAGGUUAACAAUGAUGGUAGUACAACCAGCAGCGUUGAUGAGAAUUGCAAGCACACAAAUGAGCAAGAGAGGGAUUGAGAGUAGGAGGCACUUGAGUGCACAUUGGGGAAAUGACAAUGAUUAUGUCUAUAGAGUUAUCCACUUAAACCCACUCAAGCUAAGCGGGCAAACUAGUUCAAUUCUGGUUCAGCUAAAACAAAUUGAUCCCAAAAGCACACCCAAAUCAAAAUUCAUCAUCAUCCAGCCUAACUCCAAAUUGAAUCCCAAGACCUAAAAGUCAGCAUUAAAACUUGUUUCAGAUUCAAAUACUUAUAAUUACCAACAAAUAACUCUCAAAUCUUCUAUUAGGUUUAAUAAAAUUCUGAUACAUUACACUAGAUCUCCAUUAACAAAAGUACAAUGUCCUAAAGGAGAUCUUUCAUCAUGGGAGGCAUCACAUACUUCAUACAGCAUGCACCUAUGAUGAGUGCUUUGACUAUGGGCACCAAUGACGUUGCAGCCGUAAUGAGCCACCGUAAACCUUGAGACUCUUGCUCCCUGUUGAUAAUUCUCCUUGUCCAUAUAUGAUUGUUAGAAAUGGCAUUGCCCUUGCAAAGUUAUAUAUUUGCAUGUGUCAAAGGACAUAGAUACUGAAAGAUGAAAGGCUUGAAUGGAGGUUCCAUUUUCAUGUAUUCCAAGCUUUGUUAUUUUCUUGUCAUGCAUAUUAGUCACAUGGUGCAGGCAGGAAAUCUAAACUAUGACGUAUCAACAAAAGAAAUUUUGCCAAGAGAUGCCAUAUUCGAAGACUUAAAUUGUAGGAUCAGGAAGCUGGAAAGAUGGAAUACGAUCAACAUGGUGUUUUGGACUAUUCUGAUGUCUGCUAUUGUUGGUUAUUCCUUGUACCAAAGAAAGCGUCACUAGACAAACAUGUUAACCAAGUUGACUGAUUAAUUUCUCAACAAUUUUUUUUCACCCUGUAUGCAUUUAAAGGAAUUCAUUCAGCAUUCACCAAUCACAGAAGGCUGAGUCAUUAUUUGCCAGUUACUUGGCUUCCAGAAUGCUGGAACAUAUAUACUUUACUGCUGAUCCACCAAUUGGCUGUGGAGAAUACUAGAAUUAAAACAGAUCUUCAUUGAAAGAGAACUUUGGUUUUACAUUUUUAGUACCAACAAAAUGUAGUUUCAUGACUGGCAAAAAAUUAAGUUAUAAUUUACAUAUUUAGUUUCCUCGCUGAAUGUGGCAUGUAAAUUAAUUGGACAUGAUCAUAGCAGGGCCACAAGUUUAUUUUCUUUUUCUCGUGUGUAAUUAACGAUACGGGACUGUUUGUAACUAAUUAUAAGCAGUGUUACAAUGUAAAUGGUUAUCAAGGUGUUUCUCAAAUCAAUUUGUUGCUGUGAAUUGAAA